CGGCUCCUCUCUUGUGCUCCUGGGGCGACAGGACAGAACCAAGGGAGGAGGCGUGGGCGGCAAGAGGGCCUCUGAGAAGGAGCUGUCGGCGGAGAGCUUCCCGAAGAAAGACAGGGUCGCAAGACGUGUUCACUGGAAAGGCCCAGGCUGUAUCGCGUUAAAUGGGGUGUCCGCGGGCGGAAAGACGAGCUUGGUUUCCGGAAAUCCUACAAAUCCAGCGCAGACAAAUACCCCGCAGACUCACGAUUCACGUCAACGAAUUACAUACAGCAGUGGUGAUCCAGAGAUAGACCCCAAGAUCCCACAGGCCAUCAGCAAAAAACAAACGAGCACCCCACCUUCUCACCACCCAGCAACAUCUCCACUCCAAAACCACUCCCUCCUGAUUCACUCUAGAAGAGGAGGCUAGCUGAGAAUAAAAUGUGAUUUCUUCCUGGACAGAAUCAAGAGACUGGUCAGGGGCCGGCCCUGUGGUUUAGUGGUUAAGUGCGCACACUCCGCUACUGGUGGCCCGGGUUCGGAUCCCGGGUGCGCACCGACGCACCGCUUCUCCAGCCAUGCUGAGGCCGUGUCCCACGUACAGCAACUAGACGGAUGUGCAACUAUGACAUACAACUAUCUACUGGGGCUUUGGGGAAGAAAAAAAGGAGGAGGAUUGGCAAUAGAUGUUAGCUCAGAGCCGGUCUUCCUCAGCAACAAGAGGAGGAUUAGCAUGAAUGUUAGCUCAGGGCUGAUCUUCCUCACAAAAAAAAAAAAAGAGAGAGAGACUGGUCAGCUCUCUGAGACUAGGAUGAGGGGAAGGGGAUGGAGAGGGUGGGAGAAGAAAAUGGAAGGCAAUUCCGUGCUUCUCUAGGCAAGGCCAAUGGGAGAACUUGGCCUUGGGUCCCCCAAGUCUACAACUUCACUACUGGCCCUUAGUUACCAAUGUUAGUCUGUCAGGGACUUCACGUUUAUGACUCGCAUUGGAGCCAUCACCCCUUCCCCAUAGUCGAUGCUUACUGAGAUUCAGCUGGGGAAGCAGGGGUUGCAGUACACCAGAGCAGGCCAGGGGCAGCGGUAGGAAGAGGCGGCAGGCAGGGACCCUCCGAAUCCAGUGUAAUGCCUGGCCCACAGUGGGCACUCAGCUGUUGAAUGGAUGACGGGGGACAGGGAUGGAGAGAAAGAGCUCAGAGGGAAAGGAGGCUGUAACCUAAGGCACAAGACACCUGACCCUGGGAAAGGGAGGGUGACUUGCCCACAAAAACCCACAGGCCUCUUCCUUCCUGGGUCUCAGCCUUUCUAUGUAGCAGAGACAGCCAUGAGGCUCCAAAGGCCCCAGGCAUCCCCCUCUCUACUUCCUGAAGCUGGCACCUGCGGUCCCCCAGCCCUGCCCUUUAUUCUACCUUGGACUGGUGACAGGGACACCUAGGGCCUUUCAUUGUAGCCCACACAGCAUCACCUUUGGGUUGGACUGAAGGAGCUCCUCAGUGCUGUUUCCUGAGGGGAGCAGCU